UAUAUACUCCACAAUGGACCACUCGUGAGUUAGACGCAACUCUUUGAAAAAGAAAAAUAGUCGAUCACACUUCUUCUUCUUCUUCUCCUUCAUCAGGUCUACUCUCUCAGACUCUCAAACCCACCAUGGAUCGUCUCAUCAAUUGGUUGGUGUCGGAGAUAAGUAAUUUAUGGACAAAGGUUAAUCCAAUUGUUCAAAGGUUGUUGUCACUUGUCCGAGACAUGUUGUUUAGCCACAAAGAUUAAUCCAAUGGUUCAAAGGUCCAUGUCCUACACAAGUUAUUAUUUAGUAACAAAGAUUAAUCCAAUAGUCGAAAGUUUCGCUCAGCGUAAAUUUAGUUUUAAUACUAAAACUUUUUUUGGAGAAAUUACAACGGAUGGAGACACGUUGUUACGUGUUGCUGGUGCUGUGGCAGCUAUUGCUGUUGUUCGUGUGCUUUGGAAGAUGGUUUUCAAAGGUUCUGGGAAGACAAUGAAGGCUCCAGGGAGGAACUAUCGCAUGUUAAGGAAAGACUUUGAACGUAGCCCUAAAGAUUACUUUCGUAAAUUGCGCAAAUAGACAAGGGAGAUGAACUCUUAAGACAAAACUUGAGUAGGAAACUACAUUUAAGUCUUGUCCUUAAGGUUAUGGUACUAUUUUUAGUAUUUUAUAGCUUGGUUUUUGUUGUUUUGUUUGAGAAGGGGAGGUGACUUGGUUUGGCACAACCUGUUGCACUAGGUUUAUUGUAUUUGAUGAGACUGAAGUGUGGUUUGGUUAUGAAUUUAAUUUUAGCAUUGUUGGUUACUUGUUUCUUAUU